GUUUAGGUAAUUUGGAAAACACUAACGGGGCAGCGGCCUCGACAAAUUAUUUUUUUAGAUGGAGAGUGACCAAAGAAGGAUUCGAAAUUAACAUCAAAGGAAAAUAUGAGGUAUAUGAUGCAUUUUGUCCGGACAAAAUACGACUGGGGUGGAACAGACAAUAUGACGACAGACGACGGUGACGAUUUGACUUGACAACAGCGGUGAAAAUGACUUGAAUGUGGAUGAAUGGAAUGGAAUGUAUGAGAUUUUGGAAAGAAUGGGAUGAAAAAGUGUUUGAAAUCUGUGAAUUUUAACUUUAUUUCCACAUUUCCUUGUUUAUUGUGUUUUCUAUGGCCGCAGCCAUCUUGUUUACGUCGAAUGAACCAAUGACUGGAGGUUUUAGUUGCUUUCGAAUGUGUCGAUGUCUAUGAUUGGCUUUGUUAGUACCACGUGGCCGGCGAGCCGGCGUCCCCAGAAAUCGUAAUGGCGAAACACGCUAAACUUUUACAGUUAGAGUUUGGGAUCUAAUCUGCGGUAAAAUCAUGGCGGGGAUCGUCGUUAUCGAGCGUGGUCAUGACCUCGGUUGUAAGACGUCGUUUAAAAACAAAUUUCAGUGGGUUUUCAGUUCGCAGAAAAAGGUUUUUAAGUAGCGCUGCGCCUCCGACGGAAGCCUCUGUCACCACGGCGAGGAGAUGACUGCAUGCAGCAGCCGUCUCUGGUCGAACGAAAACUACUUUCUCGGGAGGUUCCCCAAAUCUUUUCAAAAACAUGGAAAGGCAGCCCAGAUAAGAGUGAAGUCCAGACCCUUCCUUAAUCCUCAUAAAUCUUCAUGCAGAACAUUCUUCUGCCUAAGGGGUACAAGAGCAUGAGCAGAUGCUCACACCUCCCCCAAAAGGACCUCAGUUAGCCAGAAGGGGGCCGAGUCAGAGGUGACUGACCCUGAGGUUAAGAUAACUACUUCAAUCAUGUAAAGUAUUACUGCACAUUUGCAGGUAAUAGAAAGGAGAAAGGGAGAAGUUGAGCAGCUGAAAAAUCCACACAUGAUAAAUGGUGUUUAAAAAUAAUAACAUGAAUUUUGAGUUUUAUGCCCUCAGAGACAGCAGAAGUGACGUGUCAUGCUCAGCCAUUCGUAAGUCGGGGACAGGAGAACAUGGUGAAAACCCUGGGACACGUGAGCCGCCCAGGAGACCCUAGCAGUAUCUGGAAAUGGCAUCUGUGGCACUCCAAACCCUUGGGCAUGUGAUAGCCCACAACGAGGUACCCAACAGCAGAAUGCACAGACCCAGAGGCAGAGGGUCUGGAGGAAAAAUGAACAGUACCCACGACCACUCCAAGCCCCUCCUCCACCGUGGCGAGGACCACAGGGCAAGUCGGACAAUACCACUUGAUGAUGCAGGAGCCAUUGUCUUUUCCAAGAUGAGAGGUAACCACUGAUGACUCUAGUGGACACUACCUGCUCUGACAAAUGAACAAAUGACUCCUCAAAACCUGCAAAAGACCAUCCGACUGACUUUUGACCAGAUGGUGGAACAUUCAUGUAUGCAUUCACUAAACACGCCUGUGAAUCUGUUGGGAUGGGACAGUCUUGUCAAAAACAGGAGCCAGCAGACUGGAUGCCAUGCCAGACCCCACAGCCAACCCCCACUGCAGACAACCAGAGGGCCCUGAAACGCCAGGUGGUUUCAUGGGUUUCAGGCGUGAAAGCCAUGACUCCUGUCCUCAAAGCUCUAUUUCCGCCUCCGAAUGGUCUGACCUGUACACUCUAUGAUUGACAGUACACAGUAAUAUUUCAGCAGG